rnacentral:rRNA from 1 species
AACGAACGCUGGCGGCAGGCUUAACACAUGCAAGUCGAACGCACCUUUCGGGGUGAGUGGCAGACGGGUGAGUAACGCGUGGGAAUCUACCCUCCUCUACGGGAUAGCUCCGGGAAACUGGAAUUAAUACCGUAUACGUCCUGAGGGAGAAAGAUUUAUCGGGGAAGGAUGAGCCCGCGUUGGAUUAGCUAGUUGGUAGGGUAAAGGCCUACCAAGGCGACGAUCCAUAGCUGGUCUAAGAGGAUGAUCAGCCACAUUGGGACUGAGACACGGGCCAAACUCCUACGGGAGGCAGCAGUGGGGAAUAUUGGACAAUGGGCGCAAGCCUGAUCCAGCCAUGCCGCGUGAGUGAUGAAGGCCCUAGGGUUGUAAAGCUCUUUCAGUGGGGACGAUAAUGACGGUACCCACAGAAGAAGCCCCGGCUAACUUCGUGCCAGCCGCCGCCGUAA